rnacentral:rRNA from 1 species
AAGUUGGAUAUGCAUAAGGCUUAUGAUCAGGUUGAGUGGAUUUUUCUUCGAAGUAUGAUGGAAAAACUUGGGUUCCAUGAGCAAUGGAUUGAUAUGGUUAUGGCAUGUGUAAGCUCUAUGAGAUAUAAGAUUCGUUUUAACUCUCAAGAAACAGAUAUGUUUGUUCCAUCUAGAGGCAUUAGACAAGGGGAUCCCCUAUCCCCAUAUCUUUUCCUCAUUUGUGCAGAAGGUCUCUCUAGUAUGUUGCAGUUUGAAGAAGAAGUUGGUAGCCUUGAUGGGGUUAGAGUGUGCAGAAAUGCACCAUCAGUCUCACACCUUUUAUUUGCUGAUGAUUCUCUAAUUCUCAUG